GAUGAACGCUGGCGGCGUGCCUAAUACAUGCAAGUCGAGCGAACGGACGAGAAGCUUGCUUCUCUGAUGUUAGCGGCGGACGGGUGAGUAACACGUGGAUAACCUACCUAUAAGACUGGGAUAACUUCGGGAAACCGGAGCUAAUACCGGAUAAUAUUUUGAACCGCAUGGUUCAAAAGUGAAAGACGGUCUUGCUGUCACUUAUAGAUGGAUCCGCGCUGCAUUAGCUAGUUGGUAAGGUAACGGCUUACCAAGGCAACGAUGCAUAGCCGACCUGAGAGGGUGAUCGGCCACACUGGAACUGAGACACGGUCCAGACUCCUACGGGAGGCAGCAGUAGGGAAUCUUCCGCAAUGGGCGAAAGCCUGACGGAGCAACGCCGCGUGAGUGAUGAAGGACUUCGGAUCGUAAAACUCUGUUAUUAGGGAAGAACAUAUGUGUAAGUAACUGUGCACAUCUUGACGGUACCUAAUCAGAAAGCCACGGUUAACUACGUG
rnacentral:rRNA from 1 species